rnacentral:rRNA from 1 species
UACGUAGGAGGCGAGCGUUGUCCGGAUUUACUGGGCGUAAAGCGCGUGUAGGCGGUUCGAUUAGUCUGCUGUGAAAGCGCUCGGCUUAACCGGGCGAGGUCGGUGGAUACUGUCGGACUUGAGGACGGUAGAGGGGGGUGGAAUUCCCGGUGUAGUGGUGAAAUGCGUAGAUAUCGGGAGGAACACCAGUGGCGAAGGCGGCCCCCUGGGCCGCUCCUGACGCUGAGACGCGAAGGCCAGGGUAGCGAACGGG